AAAUCCAUACAACUUCUGGGAAAAGGUUGUUGCUGGCCUUUCGGGGCAUGUGCACGCCUCGACCGGAUGUUUAUGUUCCACUUCACACCUGUGCACCAACUGUAGCUAGGGAUGAUCACGGAGCCGUUGGUUCUGAAUGCCCUGGCUAUGAACGUUUUUUUACACCCCUGUAACAAAGUUUUUUGGAAUGUUAUGUCCACGUGUAACAACGUGAAUGAAAUACAACUUUCAGCAACGGAUCUCUUGGCUCUCGCAUCGAUGAAGAACGCAGCGAAAUGCGAUAAGUAAUGUGAAUUGCAGAAUUCAGUGAAUCAUCGAAUCUUUGAACGCACCUUGCGCUCCUUGGUAUUCCGAGGAGCAUGCCUGUUUGAGUGUCAUGAAAUUAUCAACUGCUUCGGCUUCGUUUCGAAGUGAAGUUGGAUUUGGAGUGCUUGCCGGCGUGUUUCGGCUCCUCUCAAAAGCAUAAACCCCUCUUUUGGUGGAAAGUAUCUUUGAUGUGAUAAUCAUUUACGUCGCAGAGAAAUCCUCGAGAGGAGUGGGGGUUGUUUAUGGCCCCUUUCAUUUGACCAAUUCGACCUCAAAUCAGGCAGGACUACCCG
rnacentral:rRNA from 1 species